rnacentral:lncRNA from 10 species
UCAGUAAAGCGGAGGCAGCGGGGGAAGAUGGCGGCGGCCGUUCCACAGCGGGCGUGGACCGUGGAGCAGCUGCGCAGUGAGCAGCUGCCCAAGAAGGACAUUAUCAAGUUUCUGCAGGAACACGGUUCAGAUUCGGCUGGAGUGCAGUGGCGCGAUCUCGGCUCACUGCAACCUCCGCCUCCCGGGUUCAAACGAUUCUCCUGCCUCUGCCUCUCGAGUAGCUAGGACUACAGGCGCGUGCCACCACGCCAGUUUCUUGCAGAACAUAAAUUAUUAGGAAACAUUAAAAAUGUGGCCAAGACAGCUAACAAGGACCACUUGGUUACAGCCUAUAACCAUCUUUUUGAAACUAAGCGUUUUAAGGGUACUGAAAGUAUAAGUAAAGUGUCUGAGCAAGUAAAAAAUGUGAAGCUUAAUGAAGAUAAACCCAAAGAAACCAAGUCUGAAGAGACCCUGGAUGAGGGUCCACCAAAAUAUACUAAAUCUGUUCUGAAAAAGGGAGAUAAAACCAACUUUCCCAAAAAGGGAGAUGUUGUUCACUGCUGGUAUACAGGAACACUACAAGAUGGGACUGUUUUUGAUACUAAUAUUCAAACAAGUGCAAAGAAGAAGAAAAAUGCCAAGCCUUUAAGUUUUAAGGUCG